GCAGUCGAGCGGUAAGGCCUUUCGGGGUACACGAGCGGCGAACGGGUGAGUAACACGUGGGUGAUCUGCCCUGCACUUCGGGAUAAGCCUGGGAAACUGGGUCUAAUACCGGAUAUGACCUCCUAUCGCAUGGUGGGUGGUGGAAAGAUUUAUCGGUGCAGGAUGGGCCCGCGGCCUAUCAGCUUGUUGGUGGGGUAAUGGCCUACCAAGGCGACGACGGGUAGCCGACCUGAGAGGGUGACCGGCCACACUGGGACUGAGACACGGCCCAGACUCCUACGGGAGGCAGCAGUGGGGAAUAUUGCACAAUGGGCGAAAGCCUGAUGCAGCGACGCCGCGUGAGGGAUGACGGCCUUCGGGUUGUAAACCUCUUUCAGCAGGGACGAAGCGCAAGUGACGGUACCUGCAGAAGAAGCACCGGCUAACUACGUGCCAGCAGCCGCGGUAAUACGUAGGGUGCAAGCGUUGUCCGGAAUUACUGGGCGUAAAGAGUUCGUAGGCGGUUUGUCGCGUCGUUUGUGAAAACCAGCAGCUCAACUGCUGGCUUGCAGGCGAUACGGGCAGACUUGAGUACUGCAGGGGAGACUGGAAUUCCUGGUGUAGCGGUGAAAUGCGCAGAUAUCAGGAGGAACACCGGUGGCGAAGGCGGGUCUCUGGGCAGUAACUGACGCUGAGGAACGAAAGCGUGGGUAGCGAACAGGAUUAGAUACCCUGGUAGUCCACGCCGUAAACGGUGGGCGCUAGGUGUGGGUUCCUUCCACGGAAUCCGUGCCGUAGCUAACGCAUUAAGCGCCCCGCCU
rnacentral:rRNA from 1 species